UCUUGUAUCUUGGCGAGUUGACUCAAUUUGGCAUCAGCAACGAAAGAUUCAUUUUCUAAACAACGAUAUCUAUGAGUUUGUUAUUGAUCAUACUGAUUUCGAAUUCAAAU
rnacentral:rRNA from 1 species